GAUGAACGCUGGCGGCGUGCCUAAUACAUGCAAGUCGAGCGAACAGACGAGGAGCUUGCUCCUCUGACGUUAGCGGCGGACGGGUGAGUAACACGUGGAUAACCUACCUAUAAGACUGGGAUAACUUCGGGAAACCGGAGCUAAUACCGGAUAAUAUAUUGAACCGCAUGGUUCAAUAGUGAAAGGCGGUUUUGCUGUCACUUAUAGAUGGAUCCGCGCCGCAUUAGCUAGUUGGUAAGGUAACGGCUUACCAAGGCAACGAUGCGUAGCCGACCUGAGAGGGUGAGCGGCCACACUGGAACUGAGACACGGUCCAGACUCCUACGGGAGGCAGCAGUAGGGAAUCUUCCGCAAUGGGCGAAAGCCUGACGGAGCAACGCCGCGUGAGUGAUGAAGGUCUUCGGAUCGUAAAACUCUGUUAUUAGGGAAGAACAAAUGUGUAAGUAACUAUGCACGUCUUGACGGUACCUAAUCAGAAAGCCACGGCUAACUACGUG
rnacentral:rRNA from 1 species